CUCUUUGGUUGUAUAUCUGUUAUAGAUGGUCUACAGUAUAAUUGCUAUGAUUAUUACAUAUACAGUUUAAUCUUUUUUUGUGGCAUUAAAGUUGUUAAAGGUGUUGUAUAGAGAUAAGGACACAAAUAACACAUGACACUCAGUACUGUUGCUAUGGGAGAGUUUCUCAGAUAUUUGAGCAUCAACCGGACCUCGACACUGAUAUGUUGCAUCUGUAUUUUCCUGGAAGCAGGUGGGAACAGCAUCUCCUUGGCAGCUGGGAGCAGAGUGACCCUGCACUGUAGCAAUAACUCAAUCAGCGACCUCCUUCAACUGAGAUGGGGAAGGAAUGGGACUCAUCUGUUUAGUUUCAAGGCACAGAAAACCUCAAACAACAGCUCUGUGACCUUAAGCAGUAAUCGGAACAUGUCAGACAGCAGAAUAAUAAGGUCUCAUGCAGCUGCCAUCCUGAAUCUAAGCAUGUCAACCUUAGAAAGCCAACUGUAUGCACUAAUCAUAGAGGGAGCCCAGAAAUAUCACGAAGGAAACUACACUUGUGAAAUGACCACAGACUCAGGAGUCUUCGAACAGAAAUGGGAGCUCAUAAUUACAGAGGAAGCUGAAUCAUGUAAAAUCCAUGAUGCCACAGCAGUUAUUGUACGUUGUGUGUGUUUCCUGGUUAUUACAAUUACUGCUUUGGCCAUUAUGAGAAAAGUCUGCAAAUAACGAUCAAAGUAAGUUGCUUCCAUUUAUUCUAUGACACGAUCUUGUGCUAAUGGAAUCAGUCUGCAGGGAUAAACAACAAAAUCUCUCUCUCUCUCUUUUCACAGAAACAUCAUCAGAUCUCUCAGUGCAAGAUUGUCUGUUGAGAAUUUAUGACUUUAAUACAAUUAAUAUUAGACAAUAGGAUAUACAGUUCAGUCCACAACUUUGCCUUGUACUCCAUCCACAGUGGAUUUUUAAAUUAAAUAUUUGGUAUGUGAUUGAAGUGCAGACUUUCAGCUUUAAUAAUAAGAAGUUCAUCAAAAGUAUUACAACUGUUUAUCUAUUUUUAUAUAUACAUAGGCCUCCAUUUUUUAUUUUUACCAACUUUUGCAUUUUUACUAAGUCCUUGGGGGACAAUGAAUAGUCAAAGCCAUGGACAUCCCCAAAUGUCGCAUUGCCUCCAUUGAGAUGCUCUGCUAGGCCUUUGUUGCAGCGUUCAGUUGCAGUUGUUUGUGGGUCUUUCUGCUUUCAAUUUUGUCUUUGGUAACUAAAAGGUGCUCUGCUGGACCCAGAUGUGGUGACUGGCUUGGUAAGUAUCACACAUAACAGAAUGCCUGAUGUUGGCCAAUGCCCAUUUUCUUUGUCUAGAGAAACUCGUGAUUUGUUUUGACAGUAUGGGUGGAGUAAAUGCCCUGCAUCUAGCUCAGUGGGAGUAGAGAGUAACACCCUCUACAGAUCUGGAAUCUGUUUCAUAUGUUAUGAAACAAUAAGGGUACAGUCCUCAGCGGGCCAUGAAACCACUGACUGUAAUUCCUAAACAACUAAUGCAAUACUUUUGUAAAACACCUUGAUCAAAAGCUGAAAAACUGCACUUUAAUCGCAUCUUAAUCAUUUGAUUUAAAAUCUGGUGUGGUUGUGUACAGAGGCAAAAUUACAAAAAACAAAAAUGUGUCCAAAACCGUAUGGUUCUCCCUGCAGGCUAGUAUGAAAUCAAUCUGAACUACUAUAUCGUCCACUUUAGGAAAGGAUAAUGAAAUUUACUGAGCCUGAAGACACUGAUUUUUCUUCUGUAGGAGGUGCAGAGAAGAUCUUUAUGAAAACUCCUGGGAAAUUGAAACUUGGUCAGAUUCAGUUCGACUCUUACAAAUACAGGGCUGAAUGACCUAAAUUUUCAUGGUUCUGGGUCAUUUUGACCCAGUGUUUUUAAAUUCUUGUGUUUUGGUGUAAUUUUUGUCUUAUGGUUUAUGUUUUAGGUUCAUUAGCAGUCUUUAGAUUAGUCUGUCUUGAGGUUCUUAUAUUCCUUUUUGGUUCCUUGUCCUUUAGGUUCCCCUUGUGUCUCUGUCCUCUGUGUUUGUGUGUGCCCUUGUGUCUUCUUUCCCUUUUGUUCCCAUGUUCUCCUCAUGUUUCAUUAAAUGCCCCCCCCCCCCGCUGGUCAUGUUUAUCCCAUGUCUCUCCUCUUGCUCUUUCUCAGGUUCCUUGCUCUCUCUCUCUGUGUCUCGACUACGUCCUAAUGCUUCCUGUUUUACUUUGAUAGUCUCCUGUCUGGUGUGCGUCAGUUUUGUUUCCCUGUCUCAUUAGUUAGAUCACAUUCAGCCCUUGUGUGUAUUUAUGUUUGCGUCUCCCUGUGUCCUGAUCUCCCUCAUGGCUGUGUGUUCCUCUGUAUGUUUAGUUUUGUUUCCUGUAUUUCAGUUUGGUUUAAUUUAGUUGUGUAUCUCCUGUACUCCAGCAAUAAAGCUGUGUUUUUUUUGAGUACUGCCUGUGAGUCUGCUUUUGUCUCCUAUCCUGCCUGCUGUGUACACCAAAUGACACACAAUAAAAGAAGAGACAACUUUGAGCUUUAAACUUUCAAGUUAUGUCUGAUCAUGAGCACCCAAGAUUUUUCCCCCAGCACAUUUCUUCCUCAGACAUUAUACCACCACCACACAAAACACAACCACUACCUUUAAUCCACCGGAUGAUAAAAAUGUGUCAUAUUUUUCAUAAAAAGUUGACUUAUUUCAUUAAAAAUUCUUAAAAGCUGAUCUUUAUCUCCUCCCUUAUUAACAUCCACAACUGUGACACUAUAUAGGCAUAAAGAGUGUUAAGCAUUUUACUGGACUCGGGGGCCUUAUGCAUGAAGCAACUUCAACAUAGCUGCAGGUUUCUUUAUUAAUCCAGUCUUUCUUCACUCACACAUUUAACUCUUCUUUUACACAGAACUGAAUACUUGAGUUCCACUUAAUUGAAAUGGGUGAUAAUCCAUAAUAAAAAUACAAAAAAUAAAAGGGGGGCAACAGGAAACACUGCAGCUGGAAAUAAGGGCAAGAGCUGUGGUAAACUGUUGUGCUGCUAUUUAUUUUUAAAGUGACAUUAAGCUGCACAUAGGGGUUGUUAUACUGUCAAGCUGCUGCACAAAAAAUCAUAGUCUACUCUGUGCAUUCAUGGUCUGAUAUUGUGCCACAGCGUAUUUAAAUAGAUGUGGAAAUUUCUUGGUUUGUGGACAGAUCAAAGUGAAAUGAAUUACACUGAUCAAAUAUUUGUCAAGAUAAACAGCUGACUGUUGCUACUGUUUCCAUUUGGUGGUUUAAAACAUAUUUAUAGGUUUUCUGUGUCACUAACCGAAUAUUUUAUAAAUUCUAGUGUAAGUUCCCAGAAGAUCAUCAUUUGGUGGGAAUAGUGAGAUAUGUCUUAACAGGUUUCAGCAGAGACUCCAUAGCAUCCAUAGUGCAUUAGAAGACUCAUUUAAAGGACUUUAAACCAUCUCCAGUUCAUUAUGUGUUCAGCAUGAGUUAUCAUGGUAAUCUAGUGAGGUGGGAAGUAAGACAUCUUUGCGACACUGCAAACACUGACUUCAAGUGAAACGUACACACACAAACUCAGACAUUGGUCAAUCGUUGACCAAACCAAGGAGUUUCCAUUUUGUAGACACUGCAUGAAUCAGUGUGAAUAAAAGUGUCUCACUUAUGUGCUGUCAUGUUUGUGAGGUUGUGUGCAGGGUUAACCACUGAAAAAUAAGUAAUUAUAACUCAUUAAAA